rnacentral:lncRNA from 1 species
AUUUGCUUUUACUAUCACAUCUUUUCUAAAUGAUUCAUAUUUUUCAUCUUGAAAAUUUGAGUCUCAUCAAACCUAUUUCCCUCCAUUUCUCUUGAUUUCCUCAUGAAAUGGAAGGGAGUAUUUAAUAGCAUCUCUUUUCAAGAUGUUGAGUUCCCACUCAAAUUAUGUCGUCUAAUUUUACAGUUUGUUAAAAGCACAACCUGUUUAUCCUUGAAUUACAAUACUACAUAAUUUUUUUACCUCAUCUUAGUUUCUUUCGACAGGAUUGAUUCCCUCGUCAGAGAACUGCCAUUCACGCACUAUCCACCUCACUAUAAGAAAGGGUGAUUAAUAAUAUCGAUAACCUCAAAAAGGAAUGCAUAAGUGAGCGUGUCCUCAGCUUUAAGAGUUUACUAGUUAUAGUCUCUGAAAAUUGAUUUCACUAGGGUUCUUGAGUCGCAUUCUUAAAAUCAUGCAUCAAUAGUAGUGGGUUUUUAUUUCUGUUUCAUAAAUAGUGUACUAUGCGUUUAUCGUGCAAAAAAUAGGAGGGGCUUUCUAGUAAUUUUUGAUUCCUUAAAAGGGCUUUUGAAGAAGGGAAUCUUCACAUUAUAGCUCUUAAAUAAUUCCUUCUUCCAGGACCUUCACUUCUUUCGGAAUGUUAAUAACAGAGAAGGUGGGAGUUAUUUUCACUGCUUGCUCUUUGCAUUUGUUUCAGUUGUUUGUUAGCUAAGGCUAGAUAUAAGGACUUUGUAGUUGAAUUCUUGAAAUUAGUUUUUCCAAUAACAUUCCAUAACACCUUAUUUGUCUCUCAGAAGAUCAUUUUCUGGUCUCUGUUGAUGAAGUGAAUGUGUUUAGAAGCUCUUGUUUGGCAAGGAGAAAGGUCUUAUUCUCAUCUACUUUUACACUCUGAAUUGGCAUAGGUGGUUUGAAUUUUAAACAGUGAUUAUACUUUUCAAAAUCAGGUUUUAUAUUUCAAUCUGCUAUGGGAUAGGGUGGUAUUAUUGGCUUCUUUACAUGCGUAUACUUCAGGGACAUUCUGAGGAGUCCUUUUAAGUGUUAAUAAGAAUUUAGGGUUUAGGGUUUAAGUGUUAAUAAGAAUUGUGGGUUGGGCAAGUUCAACAUCUUCGGUACUUCUAUCCUUUUUAAGUUAAGAUACCUUACUUAUCAUCCAUGUUCUUUUCUUUUGUCUUCGUUCCUUUAGUAAUUUCUUUUUACAAAAUGCUAAGCACAGAAACUACGUACUACUUGAGGUGCAGAUUAUAAUAAGACUAUUUUGCUAUACUAGGCAGUUUGACAGGAAGCAGUAUUCUGCACUUUAUCUCCUUCAUCGGCCCUAUAUUAUCUAAUAUAUUGUCUGUAUAUUCCAUUAGCCAGAAGGUAUAAACUAUUGUAUGCAUAUUUCUCCAUAGGUGUGGUAGUAGAGGCCAAACCUCAACUUGUUGGAAUUCAUGAGCGGGUGCGAAGCGAUAUCGAGGCUAAAGACCAACCUCUGAUUAAAUCAGUUCCUAGCACAACACAGGAAGGAGGAAAGCGUGUACCAACAGUAGCCAAUCCAAAUGCAGAAGAUGCUGCAGAGCUACUGAGGUACAUUAUUUUGUUUUUCCUGAGAAUGUCUCUACCUAUUGGGGUUAAUAAUCUCUUCCUUUUCCCU